AGUUUGAUCAUGGCUCAGAUUGAACGCUGGCGGCAGGCUUAACACAUGCAAGUCGAGCGGGGAAAGGUAGCUUGCUACCUAACCUAGCGGCGGACGGGUGAGUAAUGCUUAGGAAUCUGCCUAUUAGUGGGGGACAACAUUCCGAAAGGAAUGCUAAUACCGCAUACGCCCUACGGGGGAAAGCAGGGGAUCUUCGGACCUUGCGCUAAUAGAUGAGCCUAAGUCAGAUUAGCUAGUUGGUGGGGUAAAGGCCUACCAAGGCGACGAUCUGUAGCGGGUCUGAGAGGAUGAUCCGCCACACUGGGACUGAGACACGGCCCAGACUCCUACGGGAGGCAGCAGUGGGGAAUAUUGGACAAUGGGGGGAACCCUGAUCCAGCCAUGCCGCGUGUGUGAAGAAGGCCUUUUGGUUGUAAAGCACUUUAAGCGAGGAGGAGGCUACUUAGAUUAAUACUCUAGGAUAGUGGACGUUACUCGCAGAAUAAGCACCGGCUAACUCUGUGCCAGCAGCCGCGGUAAUACAGAGGGUGCAAGCGUUAAUCGGAUUUACUGGGCGUAAAGCGUGCGUAGGUGGCCAAUUAAGUCAAAUGUGAAAUCCCCGAGCUUAACUUGGGAAUUGCAUUCGAUACUGGUUGGCUAGAGUAUGGGAGAGGAUGGUAGAAUUCCAGGUGUAGCGGUGAAAUGCGUAGAGAUCUGGAGGAAUACCGAUGGCGAAAGCAGCCAUCUGGGCCUAAUACUGACACUGAGGUACGAAAGCAUGGGGAGCAAACAGGAUUAGAUACCCUGGUAGUCCAUGCCGUAAACGAUGUCUACUAGCCGUUGGGGUCUUUGAGACUUUAGUGCGCAGCUAACGCGAUAGUAGA
rnacentral:rRNA from 1 species